GAGUUUGAUUCUGGCUCAGGCAUGAACGCUAGCGGCAGGCUUAAUACAUGCAAGUCGAGGGGCAGCGCAGUGUAGCAAUACAUGGGCGGCGACCGGCAAACGGGUGCGGAACACGUACAGAACCUUCCUUCAAGCGGGGAAUAGCCCAGAGAAAUUUGGAUUAAUACCCCAUAGUACUACGAAGUGGCAUCACUUUGUACUUAAAGAUUUAUCACUUGAAGAUGGCUGUGCGCCUGAUUAGGUAGUUGGCGGGGUAACGGCCCACCAAGCCUACGAUCAGUAACUGGUGUGAGAGCACGACCAGUCACACGGGCACUGAGACACGGGCCCGACUCCUACGGGAGGCAGCAGUAAGGAAUAUUGGUCAAUGGACGAAAGUCUGAACCAGCCAUGCCGCGUGGAGGAUGAAGGUCCUCUGGAUUGUAAACUUCUUUUAUAUGGGACGAAAAAAGGGUUUUCCUAACCUCGUCUGACGGUACCAUAUGAAUAAGCACCGGCUAACUCCCGUGCCAGCAGCCGCGGUAAUACGGGAGGGUGCAAGCGUUAUCCCGGAUUUCACUGGGGUUAAAAGGGUGCGUAGGGUGGGUUGCCAAGUCCGUGGUGAAAUUCUCCCGAGCCUUAACUCGGAAAACUGCCGGUGGAAUACUGGGUAGUCUUGAAAUAAUCGUGGGAGGUCCAGCGGAAUUAUGUUUCAUUGUAUGCGGGUGAAAUUGCUUUAAAAUAUUAACAUUAAAAACCACCCAAUU
rnacentral:rRNA from 1 species